CCAGCCGGCCCCGCCUCGGCCCGAGUUCCUGGGUCGGACCUGCGGGGCGGUAUUCCCGCGGGGGUUCGCUGGGGCGCGAGAUCCCGCGAGAGCCGAGGCUGGGCUGGAGCAUCUUCCGAAGGCGGGCGCCGGGCGCCGCCCUGGGUCUGGCUGCCGGGCCAGGUGGCUGCAGGUGCUAUGCUCCGUGCGUUUCAAAGUGCCCUGUAGUCCGUGUCAACAUUGGCAUCGCCUUGGUUAUUGGUGGAGGAACUCCAAACACGAUGUUUGCUUCGGCACACGGCUCCGUAAACAGUGACAGGAACCAAGCAUUCGACGUGUCAGCACGCCCAGCCUCCUCAUUUUCGGGCGAGGACUCUGAUGUGUGGUCUGGACCCCAGGGCCCCUGGGACCCUAUUGACCGCAGCACCCCAUGUGGACUAGGCCUCCCGCAUGCACAAACCAAGCCCUUUUCCUGAAAUCUCAGUGGUCCGCCCAGUCCUCUUCCACAUGCUAAGAAAGCAGCUCACAGGUUGUGAGGGGAGAAGAACAAAACCGAAAAACAUACCAAGAGGAAAGAAAAAGCAACAAACAAGCCCUCGCAGAGCCCGGGUGAGGGAACCGGAGGCGGCAGAACAGCCUCAGUGGUCCCGGAGACAACGCCCGAGGGAGCCAGAGCGGUGGCUGACGCUGCUCCUACGCACAGAGCUGCUCUGCGUGCGGGACUCAGGGAGACGAGACGGUCUGUGUCUGGACUGACGGAGUGGGGUCCACAUAAGAUUUAGACUGAGUUCAUGAAAUGGGUCCACUGACAUAUGACUAUGAUGCAACGAGAAAAUGAUCACGCAGCUCAGGUCUAGUUUUAAGCUGGUUGGACAUCGUGGGACAUGGCACGAAGCUGGGGCCGUGGGCCCAUUGCGUCUCCCAGGAAACAGGAAAGGAUCAACCACAGGACCUGCUCCUGCCCGCGCCGUCGGAGAAUCGGACACCAUCUCCCAGGCUCCCUGCGCUCCCUCAGGGAAGGUGAGUGACCACGCUGUUCCCGGCCCCGCCGCCCUCAGACCUCAGGCUCCGGUCUCGGGGUCAUUCAGGGGGAAGGUCAGGCUCCCGUCCAGGAACCCGGAGCCUCCGGCAGAAACCACAUGUCUGUCGGGAAUGGCCCAGAUCAGCCCUGAAGGGACCCGGCUCUCUCUCCUCAACAUCACGCCCCUUCGCCCAGGAGCAAAGCCAGUUUCUUUAAGACAAUCAGCCUCCGGAGUCACCUGCUGGGACUUGCGGGAAGGAGAGAGUGGACAGCACCUGGCCCCUCAUUCCUCUUGCAAAUGGUUUUGAAUCAUAGGCUCUGAGAUGACUAGAGCUUUGCCUGUUCCCAGGGACCGUGAAUAAAACAUU